GAUGAACGCUGGCGGCGUGCCUAAUACAUGCAAGUCGAGCGAAUGGAUUAAGAGCUUGCUCUUAUGAAGUUAGCGGCGGACGGGUGAGUAACACGUGGGUAACCUGCCCAUAAGACUGGGAUAACUCCGGGAAACCGGGGCUAAUACCGGAUAACAUUUUGAACCGCAUGGUUCGAAAUUGAAAGGCGGCUUCGGCUGUCACUUAUGGAUGGACCCGCGUCGCAUUAGCUAGUUGGUGAGGUAACGGCUCACCAAGGCAACGAUGCGUAGCCAACAUGAGAGGGUGAUCGGCCACACUGGGACUGAGACACGGCCCAGACGCCUACGGGAGGCAGCAGUAGGGAAUCUUCCGCAAUGGACGAAAGUCUGACGGAGCAACGCCGCGUGAGUGAUGAAGGCUUUCGGGUCGUAAAACUCUGUUGUUAGGGAAGAACAAGUGCUAGUUGAAUAAGCUGGCACCUUGACGGUACCUAACCAGAAAGCCACGGCUAACUACGUGCCAGCAGCCGCCGUAA
rnacentral:rRNA from 1 species